rnacentral:rRNA from 1 species
UACGAAGGGGGCUAGCGUUGCUCGGAAUCACUGGGCGUAAAGGGUGCGUAGGCGGGUUUUUAAGUCCGGGGUGAAAUCCUGGAGCUCAACUCCAGAACUGCCUUUGAUACUGAAGAUCUUGAGUCCGGGAGAGGUGAGUGGAACUGCGAGUGUAGAGGUGAAAUUCGUAGAUAUUCGCAAGAACACCAGUGGCGAAGGCGGCUCACUGGCACGGUACUGACGCUGAGGCACGAAAGCGUGGGGAGCAAACAGG